UGGGGAAUCGUCUAAUGGCAGGACAGAAGCCUUUGAAGCUUUUAAUUGGGGUUCGAAUCCCUGUUCCCCAG
rnacentral:tRNA from 1 species